rnacentral:ribozyme from 1 species
AAGGAAAGCGUGUUAGAUGGAUCAACAAAAACGAAGAAUAAGCUGAAUUCCCGAUUCAACUCUCGAAAUUCCAGUAUUUUUCCUCUUGCUCUUUUUAUUUCUUUUCCUUUCUCCUUCUUAUUUU